CCCUUAGAUGUUCUGGGCCGCACGCGCGCUACACUGAUGCAUUCAACGAGCCUAUCCUUGACCGACAGGUCCGGGUAAUCUUUGAAUCUGCAUCGUGACGGGGAUAGAUUAUUGCAAUUACUAAUCUUCAACGAGGAAUGCCUAGUAGGCGCAAGUCAUCAGCUUGCGUCGAUUACGUCCCUGCCCUUUGUACACACCGCCCGUCGCUCCUACCGAUUGGGUGUGCUGGUGAAAUGUUCGGAUCGGCCGUUUGUCGCGGUUUCCGCGGCUCGUGGCUGAGAAGUUCAUUAAACCCUCCCACCUAGAGGAAGGAGAAGUCGUAACA
rnacentral:rRNA from 1 species